rnacentral:rRNA from 1 species
UCCCAUAAACCGUGGCUCAGUUCAGAUCGUAGGCUGCAACUCGCCUACGUGAAGGCGGAAUCGCUAGUAAUCGCAGGUCAGCAUACUGCGGUGAAUACGUUCCCGGGCCUUGUACACACCGCCCGUCACACCAUGGAAGUUGGCCACGCCCGAAGCCGUUACCCCAACCCUUGUGGAGGAGGACGUCGAAGGUGGGGCUGAUGACUGGGGUGAAGUCGUAACAAGGUAUCCGUACCGGAAGGUGCGGAUGGAUCACCUCCUAA